GUGUUUGCUUUGGCAGCACAUAUGCUAUAAUUGGAAUACAGAGAAGAUUAGCAUGGCCCCUGUGCAAGAAUGACAUGCAAAUUCAUGAAGCGUUCCUUAUUUUU
ensembl:snRNA U6 U6 spliceosomal RNA